rnacentral:ncRNA from 2 species
AGUUGAGGUAGAGGCGCGGUAAGUCAAUAGUACUUUUACAAAAGGCACGGAAAGCCGAUGGCGUAAAAGGAAAGGGGCUACCGCCGAAGUACAGCCUAUAUUCCGGAUAGGUUGUACUGGGCCUAUGCCGAAUAGGUAUAGGACUGUCACCAAAAAACCCCCAGUUUUUUGGUGGAGCGCUACUUCAAAU